rnacentral:rRNA from 1 species
AAGAGACAGCAGUCGCCGCGGGAAUACGUAGGUCCCGAGCGUUGUCCGGAUUUAUUGGGCGUAAAGCGAGCGCAGGCGGUUAGAUAAGUCUGAAGUUAAAGGCUGUGGCUUAACCAUAGUAUGCUUUGGAAACUGUUUAACUUGAGUGCAGAAGGGGAGAGUGGAAUUCCAUGUGUAGCGGUGAAAUGCGUAGAUAUAUGGAGGAACACCGGUGGCGAAAGCGGCUCUCUGGUCUGUAACUGACGCUGAGGCUCGAAAGCGUGGGGAGCAAACAGGAUUAGAUACCCGCGUAGUCCCUGUCUCUUAUACA